CAGACUUAGUGGGUUUUGACUUCUGCAAAACUCUUGAGUUCAAUGUGGGCAGUCUUAGUGUCUUAGUCUAUUCCUUUUUUUUCUGCAGUUGGGGAUGAACCCAGGCCUUGGCACUCACUAGCUGUACAACCUACAACCUCUGACCCCCAUUUCAGCCCAUCAUUCCAGCUGCUAGAUUCUCAUUCACUCAGAGCUCAGCAUGCUGCAGUGUGUGCAUUAGGCCCUGCUGGCUGGUUGAACCCUCCAGGGCUCCUAUCUGCGCCCCAGCCCUGAGAGUGCGGGCAAGAGGCUCAUACUGGCUCCCAGCUUCUGUACAUGUUCUGGAGACCGGGCUAGGGUCCUCUGCUUCCUGAGCGAGCACUUCACCGACGCAGCCCCACCCAGCCGCUUACUCAUUGCAGAGAGGUAACUCGGGGCUCUAGUGCACAUCUUUAUUUAUUUAGUAUCAUGUGUUUGAGUGUAUCAUGUGUCUACAGCGCCUGUGAUGGCCAGAGAACAACUGUGCGGAGUCAAAUCUCUCCUCAACCUGUCCGUGGGUUUUAGGGAUCAAAUUGAGUUGCCAGGCUUGGCUCCGCAACAGGUACCUUUGAACCAUUUCACUGGCCCUUUAUUUGGUUUCUUAAGAGUUUCACUCUGUGGCACAGGCUGGCCCAGAACUUGAAGCAAUCCUUCUGCUCUAGCCUCCCAAAUGCUGAAAUUAUGGAUGUGGGACAGUUUAAGCCAUGCUCAGGUCCGUGGCCGACGGGCGAUGGAGCUGUGCAGCCGUCGGCACAGUUGAUGCCGGACCACUGCCAUCACCCCUGGAAAGCACUGUUCUAGACAGGCACCCCAACCCCUCUCUAACACUCACAGAAAUGGAACCCUGCAGCCGGGAAGGGGUACGGUGGCCAAGCACUUGGCAGUCAUUCAGCGGGCCCUAAGUUCUAUCCCCAGCAUCAGUACAAGGGAGACAAAAAAUUCUUAGAAAUGGAGCAAUAUAAUCUUCUGGUUUACAUCCAGCAGAGCAUUUCAUGGUUCAUCCAGGUUGUAGUAUGAAUAUGUACUUUCUUAUCCUUUUGUUUUGCUUUGUGGUACUGGAGAUUGAAGCCAGAAAUUCACACACUGCUCAGCCGCUCUUCAGUGAGCUACAUACACAGUGCCCUAUUUAUUUCUUUAGUGGAAUAAUAUCCCACCAGUUAUGGACGGUGAUUGGAAUGAGACCCACAGGCUCACAGGUUGAAGAAAUGGUUCCCAGCUGGUAGGCCACUUUGGGAGGAACAGGAGGUGUGGCCUUGGAGGAGGUGUGUCCCUGCGAGUGGCUUUGAGGUUGCAAAAGCCCAUGCCUUUCCCAGUUAUGGUUCUCUCUGCCUCAGGCCUAUGGGUCAGGCGAAGCUCUCGGCUACUGCUCCAGCAUGGCUGCCCACCUGCUUCCUGCCUGCCUGCCUGCCUGCUCCCAGCCAUGAUGGUCAUGGAACUAUGAACCCCAAAUUAAAUGUUUUCUUUCUAA